rnacentral:rRNA from 1 species
CUCCUGGAAACGGGUGGUAAUGCCGGAUGCUCCGGUUGGAUGCAUGUCCUUCCGGGAAAGAUUUCAUCGGUAUGGGAUGGGGUCGCGUCCUAUCAGGUAGUCGGCGGGGUAACGGCCCACCGAGCCUACGACGGGUAGCCGGCCUGAGAGGGCGACCGGCCACAUUGGGACUGAGAUACGGCCCAGACUCCUACGGGAGGCAGCAGUGGGGAAUAUUGCACAAUGGGCGCAAGCCUGAUGCAGCGACGCCGCGUGCGGGAUGACGGCCUUCGGGUUGUAAACCGCUUUUGAUCGGGAGCAAGCCUUCGGGUGAGUGUACCUUUCGAAUAAGCACCGGCUAACUACGUGCCAGCAGCCGCGGUAAUACGUAGGGUGCAAGCGUUACCCGGAAUUAUUGGGCGUAAAGGGCUCGUAGGCGGUUCGUCGCGUCCGGUGUGAAAGUCCAUCGCUUAACGGUGGAUCCGCGCCGGGUACGGGCGGGCUUGAGUGCGGUAGGGGAGACUGGAAUUCCCGGUGUAACGGUGGAAUGUGUAGAUAUCGGGAAGAACACC